rnacentral:rRNA from 1 species
AUUCGUAUUGCGGCGUUAGAGGUGAAAUUCUUGGAUCGUCGCAAGACGCACUAGAGCGAAAGCAUUUGCCAAGUAUGUCUUAAUUGAUCAAGAACGAAAGUUAGAGGUUCGAAGGCGAUCAGAUACCGCCCUAGUUCUAACCAUAAACGAUGCCAGCCAGUGAUCCGCCGAUGUUCCUCCGAUGACUCGGCGGGGAGCUUCCCCCGGGAAACCAAAGCUUUUGGGUUCCGGGGGAAGUAUGGUUGCAAAGCUGAAACUUAAAGGAAUUGACGGAAGGGCACCACCAGGAGUGGAGCCUGCGGC